rnacentral:tRNA from 1 species
AUUUAAAUAGUUUAACAAAAAUAUUGAUUUGUGGUGUCAAUGAUAUGAAUAUUUAUUUCAUUUUAGAUC